GUUGACGGUGGAUUCACUUCCCAUCAGCCCUUGAGGCUGCAGGGACCAGCCCUUUGCUAGGUGCGCUUAGCUUCCUAACCCGUAGCCGGGUUGGAGAUUCCACCUCCAAAGUUUUCUUUCUGGCUUUUGAUUUUACAUUCCUAGUACAGUGGAGAAGCCUAGGCGGCCUAGAAUCCAGUGUCGUCCGUGAGUGCUUGGCAGGUGUUCAAGUGCAUCUUCCAGCCUGAGACCGCGUGGACUCGCUCAUCGUGAGGGCGAGAGGAGGAUAAGCCCAUUGGGCUGUCGGCUGAGAGUGAGGUGCGGGACCAUCCACAAUAUUGUUUGAACAUCUGAAGACAUGGGGGACUUGCCAUCUGAUAUCUGAUAACAGACUUCCUGUAAAGCAGGACUGGUAGUUUCCUGAUAACAAAUUCUCCAAUAUGAAGAUAUGGAUAAAGCAUUUGGCUGCCAAUAAUGAACUGCACCAAAGUCACCAAUUCAAACCAUGCCCUGAUUGCUGAUGAAAUCCUUGGCAUCGUCGGAGAUCUCAUCGAAUGCCUCGUCGUCGAAGUCCCAGGUGGCUGAGGUAACAUUGGCCAAGGUUUCGUUAUCGUUGUCUCCCAUGAAGGGGGAAAGGCCACUGACUCUGGAGAGACAAGAGCAGGACAGCAGGUGUGGCUAGGAGAGGGCGCGACGACCAGAUGAGGGAAUUGAGGCACAGCCCAGGCUCAAGUAACCUGCCCAAAGAUUCGCAGCCAGUGAGAUUGGAAGCCAGGUAUCUGCCUCUAGAGCCUGUCCUCUUAAAUGCUGUACUAUCCUAACAUUUCUGUGAAGAUGAAGUAAAUUGCAGUGUUCAGCGCUGGUACCAGGCCUGGUCCACAGUAAGGAAGCAGUCCAUGCCCGGAGAUCUCAUGCAGUUCUGCUGGGUUCCCUCCACUGCCUUACCAAGCUGUGAGUGCAGGAAUGACUUUGUGACCAGCAGCUUAAGCCAAAUAAACUUUAUAAGGUAAAGAAUUUCAAAACAAAA